GACGAACGCUGGCGGCGUGCUUAACACAUGCAAGUCGAACGAAAAGAGGGAAAGAGCUUGCUCUUUCCGGAAUUGAGUGGCAAACGGGUGAGUAACACGUAAACAACCUGCCUUCAGGAUGGGGACAACAGACGGAAACGACUGCUAAUACCGAAUAAGUUCCAAGGGCCGCAUGGCCCAUGGAAGAAAAGGUGGCCUCUACCUGUAAGCUAUCGCCUGAAGAGGGGUUUGCGUCUGAUUAGCUGGUUGGAGGGGUAACGGCCCACCAAGGCGACGAUCAGUAGCCGGUCUGAGAGGAUGAACGGCCACACUGGACCUGAGACACGGUCCAGACGCCUACGGGAGGCAGCAGUGGGGAAUCUUCCGCAAUGGGCGAAAGCCUGACGGAGCAACGCCGCGUGAGUGAUGACGGCCUUCGGGUUGUAAAACUCUGUGAUCCGGGACGAAAAGGCAGAGUGCGAAGAACAAACUGCAUUGACGGUACCGGAAAAGCAAGCCACGGCUAACUACGUG
rnacentral:rRNA from 1 species